AUACGGAGGAUGCAAGCGUUAUCCGGAUUUAUUGGGUUUAAAGGGUGCGUAGGCGGGACUGGAAGUCAGGGGUGAAAUACUGCAGCUUAACUGUAGCAUUGCCUUUGAAACUGCCGUUCUUGAGUACAGUUGAGGUAGGCGGAAUGUGGUGUGUAGCGGUGAAAUGCAUAGACAUACCACAGAACGCCGAUUGCGAAGGCAGCUUACUAAGCUGUUACUGACGCUGAGGCACGAAAGCGUGGGGAUCAAACAGGAUUAGAUACCCUGGUAGUCCACGCUGUAAACGAUGAUUACUGGUUGUUAGCGAUAUAUAGCUAGUGACUGAGCGAAAGCAUUAAGUAAUCCACCUGGGGAGUACGUCGGCAACGAUGAAACUCAAAUGAAUUGACGGGG
rnacentral:rRNA from 1 species